rnacentral:rRNA from 1 species
CCCUAUGGGGUGCAGCAGGCAUACGUGUCAGCACGGAGGAAGAGCUCGAUCAGGCCUUGAAGACGGCUUCUCGGGCGGAGAACAAACUCGUGCUUAUAGAGGCCUGCCUGCCGGACCGUGAUUGUUCCGCGGGCCUUCAGCGUCUCGGGGAGGGCUUCCGUCAGGCACAGCAAAAGAGGUGAGGGCUGACGCAGGGCUUUUAAGGGCCCUCACGUGUUAUGGCAGGAGGUGAACGGAAGGGCUAUGGGCGAGGUAUGGAUGGCGAUCGGAUUGACCACAUUCGCAGGCAUGGCCACAGGGGUGGGGAGCAUCAUUGCCUUCGCGGCCAGGAGGACCAAGAUCCGCUUCCUUUCGGUUUCAACCGGAUUUUCGGCGGGAGGGC